CCAGCGCGUGCUCUUUACCGCUCGUGGUGCAUUCUAUAUUUCGGAACUGCUACCAUUGUACUCGGUGUUCUUCUGCGUGAGCCUCCUGCUGCUGCCAAAUCAUCUGUAACGAUGGCUGCCGAAAUGUUAAGCGCCUCAGAAGUUUCAACCUCGCCAGGGACGAACAAUGCAUCUGAAGAAACAAACCGUGACAGUAAGUGCUUGCUUUUUACGACGCCCGUAUCUGGAAGAAAAUAAUGCUUACCCGUCUUUGCGUCGUAGCCGCUGCAGCCGUGUACUGAAAUGAGCGCUUGAAAAUCACAUUUGGAUUAUUGUCCCUAUCUGUCUCAAACUCUCCCAAUAUGGCAUAUUCGCGGAAAUUUCUAACCUGGCAUCCGCGCCAGGUCACGUGACAUGGCGGUGGACGUGGCGGACGAUGGUUGCCCAGAAGGUAGUUGCUUUAUCCGCUUGGAUUACACAAGGGGCAUCGCGGUCGCUCCUGUUCUUCUGGUUCAGUUUUUCCGAAACCCAUAUGCUUCGACGCGCAGUCCCAUGCGAAGCAGACGCGGCGACACCGCAUGUAGUUGGGCAACCCGCUGCGCUGCUGUAUCAAGGCUGGGCUGAAAAAGUGCUAGACUACGCGCAAAGCGAUGUUUUGACCUAGAUAAUGAAAUUGCUCAGAAUGGGGUUAAAAAGCUUGGCUUGGCUUGGUGUUGGCUGGACCAACACAACCUAGAGAUAAAGGGGGUGUUAAGUAGAUACUCUGCAGAGCGCGCUUCGCUCACCCUGUUUCUCUCGCUCCGGAGCCUCUGCUCAACGGGCUUUCAAGCUACGAGCACUGAAUGUGCACAUGAUCUGUAUAUGUCGCGUGUGCAAAGCGCCUCUAGGCCCCUAGGCGUCACUGAAUGAUCUUUUCCGUUAGAACCGCCUUCCGAACCGCAGUAGAAAGCAACGCGCUCCAUGGGCUCAGGAGCCGCUACUUAAUAUGCUCACAUGAGCGACGUGACCUAACAGAAUGCAAAUCACGAACGUGCUUUGAGCGGCUGUACAUAUCGAAACUAGCUGCCGUGAGACGCAUGGGCAGCCGGUGGUAGCUACGGAAAACCACCGCUUCAAAAUCACCUGCGGUGGUUCGCUGACCUCCUGGCUGGCAGCUGUGGUUGGCGGGCUUUAUGUAUCCACGUGGGUAGGUGAUAGAGGAGGCAUUAAGCAGGUCAUCUGUGUCAAGGUGGUGUUGGCUCGGCCAGUGGCCCCUCCUCGCUUUGCAUCUGAUUGGUGAAGAAGAACGCGCUUCCCUUCAU